AGUAGUAAUUCCCGGCUUCAACUGAACAUUUUCCCCCUUCCUACUUUUAAGUCUUUGAGCAGUCAAGGCUGUCUUUGGUGGCUUGGUUACUUUCUAGUUUAGCAAGGGAGUGGCUACGUCUUUAGAUCCUCAAGCUUUUACAAAAGAUGGGUAGAAGACAGUAACACCAUUACAGAAUUCACCUUUCCAGCAGCGAGGAGUGGGGUGCCCUGUGCUCACAUGUAUGAACACACAAGGCAGAAGCCCCCAUAUUUCUAACCACCCCUAAAUGGCUCAAGAAACCAUGAAGCAAAAAUUUGCAAUAGAUGUUACUGGAGAGCAGCAAAACUCGAAACAAGCUUUGCCAAGUGUUCCAGGUCUCCCUUUUCUCACAAGACAUCUACGGACUACAGUGCUGGUGCCUACACAACCGUUGGAUCUGAUGGCUGUGGUUUACAGAAUAUGAGAACUGUCAUCUCAGUGUUUUGAAUUGAGAGCGUGGGAGGAACAUGAGGCUAGUUGGAACAUAUCAAUGAAGGGUAUUUACUAUCUCAGGUAACACUUCUCCAUGGAAGGCGAUGUUUGAUCUCCGUAUCACAGGAACAAGGCUUUUAAACAUAGCUCGCAUUUUGAAUUGCGCUUCUAAAAGUGAUUGUGCCUUUAAAAACAUUUUCAUGUUGCUUGGAUCAUUUUAGAACCAUUCAGUCACUGUUGGUGAUUUAAUUAAACUAUAAUUAA